ensembl:lincRNA uncharacterized LOC102017160
UUGCCACAGUGACUCUGUAACCGGACGGCUGCGGAAGAGGCAAAGUAGCCCCAACCACGCAGAGCAAAGACAGCCUGGUCUAGAGCACAAGCGGUCCUCAGAGAGCAAUUGCCCUCCCAUUAUGCCUCUGCCUCUGGCAGCCACUGCUGAUGAUCAAAAGCUUUUAAUUGCUCUUUGCUGUAUUUAACAGAGAUUCCUGUCAUACACGAAAUUCCAGCUGAUCACAAAGAAGUCCUGUCCUGUAAGGCUGUUUCAUGGAAGUUAUGAUUUCCAUUGGUAUAGGCGAGAACUGAAAGAGGUCGCAAUCAUCAUGUAGUCAACCUUUUUUUCUCUUAUAGAUGAAACCAGAGAUAAAAUAGGAAUUUGUCCAAGUCAGAGUUUGGAAAAAACCCAGAAUUCCAGGCUCGGCCUGAUGGUGUUUGCUCUCCGUGCUGCUUCUGGCCACAGACGAGAAGGACACAGUCAUAAAAUUGUGAAGAAGACAGUUAAGAUCCAUGCUGAUGGGAAAAGAGAAUCAGCUAUGCAUUGUACUCUACUGGACAGAGCCUUUCUGUGGCGCAGCGAGGAGUUAUUGAGAAAAUAUUGAGAAAAAGUUAAUCUCAAGAACUGAGUACUAGAUGGAUGAUGAUCAUAAAUAAACAGCACUGGAACCAACAUUUCUCUAAGGAAAGAAGGCAACAUUACUUCAGAAAUCAUCACCAGAGUCCUCAAUAUUUGUGGAAACUAAAGUUCAGUCAGUGAGUGAAUGUGUAUUCCUUUUUUUCUUUAGUGCUGGAAAUGGAACCCAGGGUUUCACUCAAGCCACACAAGUGCCCUACUGCUGAACUACACCUCUAGCCAGAGUCUUGUCUUUGUUUGGGUUUAUCUGAAUUCUAAACCAGAUUGAGCAUUUUCACCAAAUUAUUGCAUCACCAGCGGUUACCAUGGUCAGGUUUCUGUGUCUUUCUCCCUUUCUCUCCCAUAUCUGCAUUCAUGAUGUAUUUUAUCUACAAAAUCAUAAUAUAUACAAGGAAUAAUCAAACACUUCAACACAUAUUUAAGUUUUAAAAAAUGUUUGUUUUAAAAAUUAUUACAGUAAGAGACACAUUGCCAUUAAUUUCCCUCAAAAUACUCCCUCUCGCAGUAAACACUCAUUCUGUCAUUCUUGCCGCUUUGUAAAGUAGUUCUGCAAGUCCUCUUUUAUAAGUGUCUUUAGUAACACUCUUGUGGCUGCCUCAAUGUCCUGAAUCAAUUCAAAACUUUUAUAUUUCAUGGUCAUUUUUUACUUUGGGGAAGUGCUAAAAGUCACACGGUGCCAGAUCUAGUGAAUAAGAUAGAUGAGGAUGUACUGUAAAAUUUUGUUUGAAAAAGAUGCCAUAAACAGUUCAUCAGUCAGGUGUGAUCAACAGAUAUUGUGAAUGUUUAAACUAAAACAUUUAUAACAGUAAAAACACAUUGCUGUAAGUCCCCUCCAAAAUAUUCAAAAUACUCCAUCUUGCUUUGAAUACACUUUUCUCACUGGGCAAUUGUCCUUUACAGUAAUGUUUAAAAACUUAAACAUUCUCUGUGUUUUUGGAUCACCUCUUGUAUAUUACCUAAAAUAAAUCUCACAGCAACUUCUUGAAACCCUGAAAACACAGAAGCAUAGGGAAGUUAUGUACAUAUGUAUAUACAGAGCAGAGAGCAGCAUGGAUGCACGAUUAUUCCUGUCAGUGUGAGUCUAUGUCCCUGCUUUCCCCAUGGUACCACCAAGUUUGUGUGGAGCGUUUGAAAGAGGGCUUUAUGCGUUCUAGUAAUUUUCCAGCUGUCUUAGAGGCAAGCAAAUAAAGAGGGAAGAAGUCUGUGAUGGAGAACGAUGACAUAAUAAAGUCAGUACGCAAGGAGAGUCAUGAAGUAGAUGAAAAGUCUAACAGACUUUAGAGAGAUGGAGAAUGCAUUUCAUACUUUUUAGUGUAUUUUUGCCAUGCUGUGAUAAAAUCUAGAACCUCACGCAGCCUAGGUAAGUGCUCUACACUGAGUAAUAGCCCCAGCACCUCAACUGUUUUGCAAGUGCUUACACUGUAACACAGCACUGCACUUUCUCCUCUAAAGAAUUCAUACUAAAGGAGGAGGCGAGCAAUGGAGGGACAAGCAUAACUGGAUCUCUGCUCCAGGCCCAGAACAGUAUUUCUCUCCAGCCUGACCCAUACUGGCUGGUGGUCACAGUAUCUCUCUCUCUCUCUCUCUCCCUCUCUCUCUCUCUCUCUCUCCCUUCUUUUCUCCCUCCCUCCUUCUCUCUUCCUCUUUCUAGUCUGCAGGGUCAGCUCUGAGAGUGGAUCUCACUAGCUCAACAGACCCCCUACAUUUCACAGCACUCUUGUUUCUCACCUGAACUAACGCAGGGGUUUCUUUACUCUUUCACGAAUAACAGCCAGAACCUUUCUUUUGAAAUAUGUCUUUCUUUCCCCAAAUAAACUCAUUCAGCAUGUUCACAGUGAAUACAUCUGAAUUCUAUUAGAUUAUGGGAAAUCCACGUGGUCCUGCUCGUGUGCAUGGCCGACUUUCCUUCCUUUCUCUCCUCUUGUAGUCAUGCUGGGCUUUCUGCCUCCAUCUGUGACACGGCCUUACCUCUAUCCCUGAACCUUUUCAGGAUAUUUACACUCUCCAUUAGCGGAAUGAUUUUCCCUCCAGGGCCACCUUGUACUUUCCUUUCCCCCGUCAUUUAGAUCUUAGCUCCAGCAACACCUGUCCAUGGAAGGAUUGUGUAUGGCAUAAAAGAUAUGCUGAAGUCCUAAAGCCAAGAAUCCGUGUGUACUGCCUUACUUGAAAAGAGUGCCUUUAAAAAUAUAAUCCGGGGCCGGGGAUAUAGCUCAGUGGUAUACG